ensembl:lncRNA
AGAGGAGGAGGGCUGGAAGGGGCCAGGGGAUUUUGAGGGAUGAGGGUACAGAUGCUGGGGCUGGUUAGGAAGACUCCAGUAGGCAAGUGUGAGAUAACUAAGCUUAUGGAGAUGGCGAGUAUGAAACAGACUUACGGAAAACAACAGAGGACUGCAGAGAAGAUAUGGAGGCAAGAUUAUUUUGUGGUGGAUGUACAAUUCAGUAGGAGGCCCCAGGGCCAGGUUGUUUUAGGUAGAAACUUUUCAGGUGGAAAGGAGGAGAGGGAAGGCUAUGAUUUCCAGAGAGAGGAUGGUUUUGGAAAGCUCUCUUUGGUGGGCAGGAGGGACUUGAAAGACACAGGAAGUGUGAGAGGGCUGUUCUUUGCUUCCCAUUUCACCUCAUCUGACCAAUUCCCCUCUGUACUUUCCUGUGAGCAGCUGACUGCCUGGGAGAGAAAUGCACUUCUUUAUUCAGUUCCUAUUUCUUCUACCACGCUUCAGGUUGCAACGUGCCAUAUGCUGGGUGUAUAUUUUCUAUAUAGAGAUCCAUUCCUUCGCUGGAAAGUUUUAGGGACCUCCGGAUUACAGAAGCUUGAAAGCCACCAGUGUGGUUAUAGCCUGCUCCAUUUGUACUUCAGAGGUGAACACUUUGGCACAAUAGCCUUGAAUUAAGCGCCACAGCCUUGAAGAGUUACAUGAUGUUACGAAAUGAAAAUUCCUCCAUACUGAACAGAUGACUUAUUCUAAUAAAAGAACCUUUUCUCACAGCACAGUUUUUCACCAUUGUAGAUUCUGUAAUUGCGAAGAGAACUUCAAGGACAAAAACAAACAAACAAACAAACAAACAAAACUCCUUCAAAAGAAGUGGGUGUUCAGUGAUGAAGAAGCUAAAGGUAUUCAUAAUGUGAAGUGUCCUGUCUUUUUCGACUCUUGCACUGAAGGAUGUGAUUGUUGUUAUUUCUUUUUUCAUGUAUCUAAUUGCAAAGUCAGAGGAACAGGGUUUAACUUGUCUUUUAUUUGAAUUAGUAAACUAAAAUGAUAUAUAGAAAUGUGGAAAAUUCUGUUCGAACAGUCUUGCAUCAGUAGGUUUCCUGAAAUAGAAGGGGAAAUAGAUUUCAUUUUUUCUCAUUCCACACUCAUUGCUGAUCUAAAGAAUCUACGAACUUAAGCUGAGUGUAAAGCUAAAAUCGCUUUGUUAUAUUUAUACACUGAGUAAAAAGACUGUUUAUUGCUGUGAACCAGAUGGCCUUGAUGUAAACAAAAUUCAACAAAUGAAUAUGCUGAUAAGUGAAGUGAAGCAUGACACUUCAACACUGGAAAUGAGUAAUAAUUCAAGAUGAAGGUGUUUUGUGGUGUGCUCCAAUGUUUGUUUCAGGUCGAGGGGAGAAUGAGUUUGCAUUGCUAAAUCCUUGACACAAACACAUCUGCCAGCUUCAGCCAGCACUUAAUGGCAGAGAAAGAAAAGGGCAGAUCUGUACCAGAGAGAUAUUCUGGGCUGUUGAUGAUAGACUGCCAUGUGGCCAAGCUGAGUUGUUGGGCUCCCUGGGGACAAUAUAAUGUGUUACCUAAAAGACUCCAGUUCUCCAAUGGUAUUGUCUCAUUUAGUCCGAAAAUGAGCAUACUUCUGAAAUGAAACAAGAUUAUAAACAAUUUGUUCAGUGUUUUUUUUUUUUUUCACGUUUCUGUGUUGCUUCUACAAGAUUGCAUCUUCUUCCACCUAUCUUUUCUCUAGAUACAAUGCUAGAAACCUGUGUACUUAAAGGCUAUGAAUAACGUAGCUCAUUGUAGAUGGGUAAAAAAUUCAGCAAUGAACUGUUGAUAGAGAUAGUCC